CGUGUGCCCGCCACCAUCUCCACAGUCCAUACCCAGCCAGUCCGCCACCGCCACCGUCUCCACUCCACCACUAGGCCACCGUCGCCCUUUUGCCGCUCCGCCACUGGUCCACCAUCGCCCUUUUGAAGUUUUCAUGAUGCAGAGCACCAUUCUGAUGAGGAAUGUUAAUCGAGUGCAUGUUUAUUAUGAUGGACAUUUCAACCUACAACCAUGAACUCUCUAUUGACGAGGAUCCCUUUUUUUUAUUUGAUUUUUGAAAUACAUUCAGCCAUUCGUCUCAAGCAUGAUAGCACUGGAAGCUGGCCUAGUUCUUCAAGUCGCCAAAGAUGCCAGUGGGAGCCAUAUUCUUGAGUCCUUUAUUUCUUCAAAUGUUUCUG